CAGGAACAGAUUCAGUGGAUAGUGUUGGUCUAAAAUUAAAAAAAAAAAAAAAAUCCCCCCAAUACUGUACGUGUGCACUAGGAAAGAAAUCUGCACAGAUGACUCCUCCUAAGAGCCGCAAAUAUUGUAGGCUCUGACUCUUCAGUGAACCCUGGAUGUACAUGCAUAUCUUUGGUCUGGAUGGCUGCAUAGCUGCAUGAGUGGAAGAGCUGGAGGCGGAUUGAAAACACAGAGUGCCCAGGGAAGAAGAUAGAACAUCUCCUCCAGCAACUCAGGUUUAGACUGGCUUUUGAAAAUACAUUCUUUGGGCAGAUAUUUGUGUUUAAUAGAGUACAUGUACAUGCAAGCAUAAUUUUUGGAAUCAGUUGUCUACUACUUGGAGAAAAAAGAUUUUAAAAGGGUUUUUUUUACAGAGUGCUACUCUUUAUACAAACUCAUUUUCCUCACUGAUUGUCCCCUUCAGGAGAACCAUAGUGGACAGUAGCCCCUCCAGACAUGUGUGUAUGAAAAUGAUGCAAGCAUCAAUCUUUCAGGUGAAUGCCAGUGUUCCUUUUCUACAGAGAUAGGCAGCUAUCUCAUUCUCACAUCUGGAAUAAGGAAUCAUUAUGCCUAGCAGUAACUGAUCCCAGAUGAUCUUAUUAACUAGGACAGUGUGUGGUUUUUGCUCAGAAUAUAGAACUCCUUUCUUCAAAAAAUAGGAGGAAAAAAGUAGAGGAAGUAUUCUUUUGUUAUCUCUAUUGUCUCUGGAAUUUUUA